GGUAAUUGAGCUUAGUACGAGAGGAACCGCUCAUUCAGAUAAUUGGUUUUUGCGGUUGUCCGACCGGGCAGUGCCGCGACGCUACCAUCUGCUGGAUAAUGGCUGAACGCCUCUAAGUCAGAAUCCAUGCCAGAACGCGAUGAUACCUCCAGCACGUUGUAGACGUAUAAGAAUAGGCUCCGGCCU
rnacentral:rRNA from 1 species